AGCCUAGCUGGCCGCCUCGCAGGUCCCUCUCACCCCGUGCGCCGCCGACGCACCGUGGCCUCCCCCGUUGCGGGCUCUCUCAUUCUCAAACCCAGGUCGACCCACUCUUCCCGCCCACUGGCCCGCCGCAGCUCCCACCAUUGGCUCGCGGCACCUGUCCGUUUCCUGGGAGAGUUCAGCACCUCCUGGCAGGAAGAGGCUCCGGCCUCAUUGGGUGCGUGAGGAGGGAAGGGUGGAUCCUAAAAGAUCCCUUUCACAGUUGGAUUCUCCCUCUUGGAUCUGGCUCUGCCUUAGUCCAACCUAGAGGGAUCAGCUUCGCCCACGCCCACUCUCACCCGGAACCUUUCAUCUCUUACUGAAGCCUUUUAGGCCCAUUGGGAUGUUCAUUAGAACUCUGAAAACUACAGUUCUCCCCUUUAUGAGGACUGCACCACAGCUCGCCCUCUCCUGGGUUCCGCCUGAUUGCAGAGUGAGCCCAUGGGACAGCCCUCUGAAAUUAUACUGCUUACGACCAUGCUGAGUCUGCAAGGACUUCAUCCAGGCCUUUCCGCCCAAGACCUCAAACAGAUCCAAUCACAAGAAGAGAGAUUUCAGGAAAGAGAAAAUUAUUCCUAUCGUCGGGGUUUUUGAAGAACAUGAAAUGACUGGGAAAAUAAUCAUGUUAAGUGGAAAAAAAAGAAAUCUAUCUGUUGUAAUUUUCAAAUAAUUUUUAAAUAAAUUUGAAAAAUUAAGAGAACUAUAUAUGUAAUAUAUUCCUAAUCUUGUGAAAAAUAUAUAUGCAUUAAUAUUAUUGAAAGAAAUAUAUCAAAAGGUGAACAGCAAUUAUCACCAAUCUAGAUUAUGAGAUUAGGAGUGAUUUUUUUUCUUUGUCCUAUACUAUUUAGUAUUUUCUACCAUUAAAAUAUUCUGAUUUUCUAAUUAGAACAGUAUGUUAGACAAAGAAGGACAAAUAUCACAUGAACUCUCACUGUCUUAUGGAACAGAUCUUGUGGAAUCUAAAAAAGUUGAACUCUUAGAAAAAGAGGAAAAUGAUGGUUACCAGUUAGAAAAAAGGAAUAAGUUCAAGAGAUCUAUUGUACACCAUGGCCAAUAUAGUUAAUAACAAUAUAUUUUAUACUUUAAAAUUGCUAAGAUAGUAGAUUUUAAGUGUUCUCACCACAUAAAAAAAUAAGUAUGUGAAAAAGCUUAUGGUAAUUAGCUUGAUUUAACCACUCCAAAGUGCAUACAUAUGUCAAAACAUCAUGUUGUAUACUAUAAAUAUAUACACUUUUUGUCAAUUUUAAACAGGUUAUUUAAAAAACAGUAUGUUAUUGUUGAUAAUUAUGAAAAAUUUUAAUGAUGUGGAAAUGUGUACAGUAUAAUGAUAAAUGAAAGAGUAGUAAAAAAUCCUUAUAAAAUAUAA